rnacentral:rRNA from 1 species
UACGUAGGUGGCAAGCGUUGUCCGGAUUUACUGGGCGUAAAGAGCGCGCAGGCGGUCGUUCAAGUCGCGUGUGAAGCCCCGGCUCCAACUGGGGAGGGUCACGCGAUACUGAUCGACUCGAAGGCAGGAGAGGGAAGUGGAAUUCCCGGUGUAGUGGUGAAAUGCGUAGAUAUCGGGAGGAACACCAGUGGCGAAGGCGACUUCCUGGCCUGUUC